UUCUGGCAGUUCGAGGAUUGAUUCUCACAUCUCCUGUAUGUGAGAUAAUAGCAUCACGCAAUUGUCACUUUCCAUUUGUAAUUUAUUAUUCUUAUUUCCUGUGUCACUUCAGGGCCCCCAUAGUUAAGCAGUGUUGCAUUGAGGGUCAGGACAUUCCUAACAACUUAAAGCAGGAAUACACAGCAGCAAUAAAGUUGUUUAGGUACUGAAAAUAAGCAAAUCAGGUCAAUAUAUUAAUGCUGCAGCCAUAAGUACAUUUUGACAAGACCUCUAUGCUAGGUACUCUUGUUACGGUCAAUAUCCUGGCAGCAGCAACAGUUAUAAGUUGAAUUGAUGCAACUGGUAUCUGGUUUAAACUACAGCACGUUAAAAGCCAUAAAUGUGCAACAAUAUAGGGAUUUGAAAGAAACUAGGCCUAAUCAUUUAACCUAUACACUAAUAUCUGGAAAAAUAAGGAAACAAAGAUCAGUUAGAGAUUUUAUUUAAAUCAGAGACAGAUAAAAAUGGGUACAUGCAGAAACAUCUUCAAUGCAAAAUUAACACUUGCAUGGUUCCUCAAACCUAGUCCCAUACUUCAGUUGCCUCUUAAUGUGAUCAGUUCAGAAGGUCUAGGAUAAGGCUGCAGCAGUCACGUUGUCGCUGGCC